CGCCGCGUGGCUCUUGUUGAAGCCGUAGUCGGCGAACUUCGCGAGCAGUUCGAAGAUGGUUUCGGCCUGCCCUUUCGGCACCCCGUUCUUCACAGAACCGGCGACGAAACCGGCGCGCUGCUUGUCCAUUUCCGCGCGGAUCUUUUUACCCAUCGCGCGGCGCAGCAGGUCAGCAUCCCCGAGCGAGUAGCCGGCCAUGACC
rnacentral:misc_RNA from 1 species